UGCUAUCUGGCAACUCUUUGGAGGUGGCCAAGCUGUCCUCAGUCCUACAUUAAGAACUGCUGCGGACUUAGAGUAAAGCCCGAGCGUCUCCAUGGCAACGCGGCUCAGUUCCCUGAUGUUCCUUCAACCUCCUUAGCACAUCCCCCUUCAUCCAGUCUUCCACUUCAGCUGAGGCCGAAGGGAUGGGGCGGGCUCCGCUAGACAGAGAGGGUGGCUCUGCUGGACAGUCCCCCCUUCAGCCCCCACACACACCCCCUCUCCACCCGGAGCUAGCCAAGGCUUCCUCUGCAGGAUCUGUCUCCUGGCACUGACACGCUCCAGGGGUCUCAGCUGCUGCCCACCAGCCCCUGCUUUCUCCUCUCCAAUUAAGAGGCCUCCUGGCAGCAGCCACAGGCAGGAAAACAAGGCGCUUAUUCUGCUCACUGAGUCAUCUUCAUCCCUAUUGUGACAAAAAUGGACACCCAGACACUGGCAAAGAUAAAGGCAGGUGCCCCCAGGAGACUGUGCAGUUCACAAGCCAUUGGUUUGGGUGACACACACCCCUUUUCACUUGCCACAUUCCUCAAGCUUCCCACCAUCCCCCACUUGUUUCUUGUGUGUGUGUGUGGUGGGGGAGAACACCUCUCUUUCCAGCAGGUCCCCCCCUCCCCCCGCUCCAGCUGCCCCUGCACUCUCAAGUUCAGCAUGUCCCUGCAGCCCAGUCCUCUAUUGUCCCCUCUCUCUGCCAGGACUUUCCUGGUUCUCCACUGUCAUACCCUGCAGGCUUGCAGGUAUGUGUUUUUGCUCAGUGCUGGGGUGUGUGCAAGACCUCAUGUCCCUUCCACAAUCAUCCUCUUUCUCAUGUCACUACCUGGUCUGCCAGCACCUGCUUCCUCCAGCAGAGUGUCUCCAUUCUGGACUUCCAACUCCUGCUCUAGUUGAACUUGGGGCUCCUUCCUGACCUACCUGACUGCAGUCCUGGGUCCCGGCAGCUCCCUAGGCUGCCUCUGGACACAGCUUCCAACCCCACAGGCUCUGUGGCACAGCUCUGUGGCAGGUUUGCACAGCUGUCUGGCUAUCUAGGGAUGUCCCCUGUCACCUCUUCCAGGACGAAGAGGGAGGCUGUGGCGUGCAGGGGUGUGGCUCAUCUGAACUCAGAGACAGAGGGGAUGAUGCUUGCUAAUCAGACUGGUAGGCAGAUUCCCCCCAUCCAUAUCUGACACUGGAGGGGUGGCUCAUUACCCAAAGAGGUGGCCAAAGGAAGCAGUGUACAGAGCGGUAAGCUGAGGGGGAUGACUUGGGAGCUUCCAGGUGACAGACUUCCUCCUGUUCCUCUGCGCUGGGUCUGUACACUUCAAACAUGGUUUCCUGCCUCUGGCCACGCCAUUCCUGGUAAGGUAAUGGGAAUCACACCACCCCUGGACCUCAAGAGCUUGGAUGGCCUGGUGGUGGUGGUGGUGGUGGUGGGGUUAUCCUACCUCUGGCCCUUCUUGGCUGGGUGCUGUUUGAAGCCACUCCCCCUCCUGUGAGCCCCGUCUUCACAGGGUGGCUACAUCUGCAGUACACAGAACAUGGAAACCCCCAAAGAAGCUUAGACCCUCAGAGCAACCGACCUCCAUAAACGCAAAAUUUAGAAACUGAGAAGUCUACGGUUGGGAACCCCAACUUCUGCUUCUGACUUUGAAGCUUUGAUAAUCUGCUCUCGGCAGGGCAGGAAAAGCCCACUCCACCCAGGCUCAAGCCAAGAAGGUGGCUCACUCCAAACCUAGUGGUCCCCCAGAGGCAAGGAAUCCAGUAGACUUGUGGUCCCAAGGCAGGGGCAACACCCCCAAGGCAUUUCCAGGAGCCCGAGCUACUGGAAAUGAGGACCAGAUGUAGGGGGCAUGUGGGCCAUGGGGCUGCACAUGUCACUCUGCAGAUGGGAAAGGGAUGAUCUUACAAAGAGAGGACUUAUUGUGGUGAAUGCUGAGGGGGCCUGUGGCACAGCCUGACAUGAGUGUCUCCUAGGUGCCCCAGGGCCUUGCUGACCCUGUCUUCUUCUACAUACAGUACAUCCUAUUUGGUCAACCGUUUCCCUAAUGGAGGGGGGGUGUUAGCCCGAGGCUCUGACAGCCAAGGAACAGGCAUCCCAGCCAGGGCUGGGUAAAAACCAUGACUUCCAGCUUUAAACCUGUGGGCUAAGACCCUUCCUGGAAGGGCAGUGGUGUGAGGUUGCGGGGUUGGGGUCUGCAUAGUCUCUCCAAACAGAGACAGAGGUAAGGACUGCUAGGCCUUUCCACGGGACCCCCCCCCUUCUAUCUAUCUUACGUAUCACCUCAAGGGAAAAUUCUAGAAUCUGCAAUCAUCCGAGGAGCUGGCUCUUUAAAAGGAAUGUGCUACACACAGAGACACAAACACAGAGACACACCCACGAUCCCCAAGAGGAGGAAGGAGCGGGCAACAGGUCCCGGCCUCCAGCUGCCCAGGUGGCUGACACCAGGAAGGGAGGGCCUCCUGGGUGGCACCCCUAACACACACACACACACACACACACACACACGUAUGUGCGUGCACAUCACACAGUUAUAUACAUAGGCAUAGACACACACACCCACGCUCAGGAAGCAAGGGACAGACUCCUGCCUGGCUCACAGCCAGGCAAGAUCUCAGGGUAAGAACCCCAAGAUGAAGACGUGGGGGUGGGGGCUGAAGGAUAGGGAGGGCAACGCCACACCAUACGUACUCAGUCUUACUCAUUCACACAAAUGUACAUAUGUAGAUUCACAUGCGCACAAACAAGAUAUACAUCAGCCUUAGGUAUUUCCAGGCAGGUACACGUGUGUUUCCCAUACACAGCCACAUGUCCUUGGGAAACACCACAGGCCCACAGACAUUUAAAUGCCACCUCAGCCUUCUAAACUCUCCUGGCUCCCAAGGCCCUGGGAGGUCACUGACUGUGAACUCCUUGGUAAGGCUAGGCUCCCAUCUCAGGGGUGGGAGGUGGGGUGGGGGUGGGGGGUGGGGGGUGGGGGGUGGGGGGUGCAGGCAGCCACUCCUGUCUGAUUCCGUGGAUCCGUGGAGGGACCUGCCCUGGGACCCUGGCCCAGGUCACAGGCUCUCCUGGAUAGAGUCCCUGGCACCUAGAGGUGGCUCCAAGGACUGAGUAUCUGGGGUGGGUUAAGGAGACAGUUCCAUGUUCCAAAAUUGAACUGCUGCUCUGUUCCAAAACCUGAUCUACCUGGAGACAUUCCGCAUCCCUAAUGAGGAGCCCCCACAUCACCCUACCAUACCCCAGGAGUGAGUACCUGUCCCUCCACAAGGAAAAGAUCCCACCUAGACACCUUCCGUUCCUACACCAGGAGGGCCUCACGCACUGAAACACCCGUUUUACAGCGUACCUCCCAACCCCUCCCUGGUUAGCCAUGCACAGUCACCGCCAGCCAGGUGUCCGCGGUGGCCCUGUCACCCUAGGGUGGCCGCCCCUACCUCCUUCUUCACGGUGCGCAGCAGCCUCUGGCGGGUCUCGGCCUCUGCGGGACAAGCAGGGAAGCGCGGUGAGCGGCACCGAGGCCGCGGGGCCUGGCCGCCCUCCCGCCGCCCGCCCGUGCUUACCCGCAGGGACCGAAGCCAUGGCUCAAGCUGGUCGGUACCGGGUGCCCGGACGCGUCUCCGCUCCGCGCCCUGCUGCAGCCGCGAGGAGGCGGGACCGGCAGGGGAUGAAUGACAGCCCAGGAUGCGGACGUCAGAACCUGACAAACCGCCCAAGUCACCCGUGAGAGCUCAGCGCCGCCUCCUGGACAGCUCACAGCACAGAGCAUCCUCCUCCAGCCUCCUCCAGGCAUCAGCGUCAGCCGUGCCAAGUUGCCAAGGGUGACCUAAGAUGCCUAACCGUGACCUACAUCCCGUGUCUCCGUCCAUGUAUAUUUAAAACUGAGGCAAAACCAGGCUCGGGGCAAACUCCUAACGACCCAUUGAUGGGGAGACUGAGGCAGGGGACUCAUGACCUGGUCAGGUUUACUAUUGCUGUGAUAAAAUCCCAGGACCAAAAGCAAGUUAAGGAGGAAAGAAAGGGCUUAUUUGGGUUCCAUCACUGAAGGAAGUCAGGGCAAGGACUCUGGAGGCUGGAGCUGAUGCGGAGGCUAUGCAGGGGUAAUGCUAAUGGCUUUGCCCGAAAAUGGCACUACCCACAGUGAACUCGGUCUACCCCACAAUAAUAACCACUUAAGAAAAUGCCCCCCAUUGAUGGCAUUUUCUCAAUUGAGGCUUGACUGUGGCUUAUGUAGUUGACAUAACACUAGCCAGUACACACCCUACGGGGCGGCCUGAGAAACGUUGGGAAAGCUUCCUUGUAGCCUGGAGGCUUUCCCAGGCUGCUAUCAGUCGGGGCUGGCUCACCCUGUGGCCAGAGCCUGGCGCUGCUUCUGGCAGGGUGCCUGUGGCGCCCUCUAGCGACGACCAUGGGCAUCGCGCGCAGCAGUGAGGCGCCGAAUAUACAGCUCAUCGCUGUCCUGCACAGCGAACGUCUUCACAAUUCACAGCCCAGUAAGAGUGACUGCUGGGAGCCAGUGCCAGUGGGGGUCUUCUUUCUUGUUGAUUCUUCUUGAAGUAGCAGAGGGGGAAGAGCGUCCGCGAAGGGUGAGAUUUUGUCUUACAAGAUAUUUAGGGUUGCUGUAUAAUAAUAAUAAAAAGUUUACUUAUC